rnacentral:tRNA from 1 species
AUAUGAGAGCCGGGAGGUUAAAUCCGGGGCGUAGAAUUAGCAGUUCUUGCAAAACUCUCAUAGUUG